rnacentral:rRNA from 1 species
GACGAACGCUGGCGGCGUGCCUAAUACAUGCAAGUCGAACGCAGUGGGGACGGGUGCGUAACACGUGGGUAACCUCCCAUCAGAGGGGGGAAAACUUGGAAACAGGUGCUAAACCGAUACUGGUGGAUCGACUCGCGGUGCAUUAGCUAGUUGGUGAGGUAACGGCUCACCAAGGCCACGAUGCAUAGCCGACCUGAGAGGGUGAUCGGCCACACUGGGACUGAGACACGGCCCAGACUCCUACGGGAGGCAGCAGUAGGGAAUCUUCGGCAAUGGACGAAAGUCUGACCGAGCAACGCCGCGUGAGUGAAGAAGGUCUUCGGGUCGUAAAACGCUGUUGUUAGAGAAGCGGUAUCUAACCAGAAAGCCACGGCUAACUACGUGCCAGCAGCCGCGGUAAUUC